UACGGGAGGCAGCAGUGGGGAAUAUUGCACAAUGGGCGCAAGCCUGAUGCAGCCAUGCCGCGUGUAUGAAGAAGGCCUUCGGGUUGUAAAGUACUUUCAGUCGUGAGGAAGGUGUUAAGGUUAAUAACCUUAGCAAUUGACGUUAGCGACAGAAGAAGCACCGGCUAACUCCGUGCCAGCAGCCGCGGUAAUACGGAGGGUGCGAGCGUUAAAUCGGAAUUACUGGGCGUAAAGGGCACGCAGGCGGUUAAUUAAGUUGGAUGUGAAAUCCCCGGGCUUAACCUGGGAAUGGCAUUCAAGACUGGUUAGCUAGAGUCUUGUAGAGGGGGUAGAAUUCCAUGUGUAGCGGUGAAAUGCGUAGAGAUGUGGAGGAAUACCGGUGGCGAAAGGCGGCCCCCUGGACAAAAGGACUGACGCUCAUGUGCGAAAAGCGUGG
rnacentral:rRNA from 1 species